UACGUAGGGUGCGAGCGUUAAUCGGAAUUACUGGGCGUAAAGCGUGCGCAGGCGGUUUUGUAAGCCAGAUGUGAAAUCCCCGGGCUUAACCUGGGAAUGGCAUUUGGGACUGCAAGGCUGGAGUGCGGCAGAGGAGACUGGAAUUCCUGGUGUAGCAGUGAAAUGCGUAGAUAUCAGGAGGAACACCGAUGGCGAAGGCAGGUCUCUGGGCUGACACUGACGCUCAUGCACGAAAGCGUGGGAAGCAAACAGG
rnacentral:rRNA from 1 species